rnacentral:rRNA from 1 species
GGAAAAUUGGCGGCAGGCUAACACAUGCAAGUCGAGCGGAAACGAGUUAACUGAACCUUCGGGGAACGUUAACGGCGUCGAGCGGCGGACGGGUGAGUAAUGCCUGGGAAAUUGCCCUGAUGUGGGGGAUAACCAUUGGAAACGAUGGCUAAUACCGCAUAAUAGCCCGGUUCUUCGGAAUGGGUCUCAAAGAGGGGGACCUUUUAGGCCUCUCGCGUCAGGAUAUGCCCAGGUGGGAUCAGCUAGUUGGUGAGGUAAUGGCUCACCAAGGCGACGAUCCCUAGCUGGUCUGAGAGGAUGAUCAGCCACACUGGAACUGAGACACGGUCCAGACUCCUACGGGAGGCAGCAGUGGGGAAUAUUGCACAAUGGGCGCAAGCCUGAUGCAGCCAUGCCGCGUGUAUGAAGAAGGCCUUCGGGUUGUAAAGUACUUUCAGCAGUGAGGAAGGUGGGUAUGUUAAUAGCAUACACAUUUGACGUUAGCUGCAGAAGAAGCACCGGCUAACUCCGUGCCAGCAGCCGCGGUAAUACGGAGGGUGCGAGCGUUAAUCGGAAUUACUGGGCGUAAAGCGCAUGCAGGUGGUUUGUUAAGUCAGAUGUGAAAGCCCGGGGCUCAACCUCGGAAUUGCAUUUGAAACUGGCAAACUAGAGUACUGUAGAGGGGGGUAGAAUUUCAGGUGUAGCGGUGAAAUGCGUAGAGAUCUGAAGGAAUACCGGUGGCGAAGGCGGCCCCCUGGACAGAUACUGACACUCAGAUGCGAAAGCGUGGGGGAGCAAACAGGAUUAGAUACCCUGGUAGUCCACUCCGUAAACGAUGUCUACUUGGGAGGUUGUGGCCCUUGAACCCGUGGCUUUCCUAGCUAAACUCGCUAAAGU